UGAGAAGCUUGCUGGAGGUAUCAGAAGUGCGAAUGCUGACAUGAGUAACGAUAAUGGGUGUGAAAAACACCCACGCCGAAAGACCAAGGUUUCCUGCGCAACGUUAAUCGACGCAGGGUUAGUCGGUCCCUAAGGCGAGGCUGAAAAGCGUAGUCGAUGGAAAACAGGUUAAUAUUCCUGUACUUCUGGUUAUUGCGAUGGAGGGACGGAGAAGGCUAGGUCAGC
rnacentral:rRNA from 1 species